rnacentral:rRNA from 1 species
AUUGAACGCUGGCGGCAUGCUUUACACAUGCAAGUCGAACGGUAACAGGCCGCAAGGUGCUGACGAGUGGCGAACGGGGGAGUAAUGCAUCGGAACGUGCCCAGUCGUGGGGGAUAACUACUCGAAAGGGUAGCUAAUACCGCAUACGAUCUAUGACUGAAAGCGGGGGACCGUAAGGCAUCGCGCGAUUUGAGCGGCCGAUGUCAGAUUAGGUAGUUGGUGGGGUAAAGGCUCACCAAGCCAACGAUCUGUAGCUGGUCUGAGAGGACGACCAGCCACACUGGAACUGAGACACGGCCCAGACUCCUACGGGAGGCAGCAGUGGGGAAUUUUGGACAAUGGGCGCAAGCCUGAUCCAGCAAUGCCGCGUGCAGGAAGAAGGCCUUCGGGUUGUAAACUGCUUUUGUACGGAAAGAAAAGGCUCUGGUUAAUACCCGGGGCUAAUGACGGUACCGUAAGAAUAAGCACCGGCUAACUACGUG